rfam:Myotis lucifugus cont2.576, whole genome shotgun sequence.
GGUGGUUCUCAGGCGAUGCACCCCAGAAUUGGGCUCCCUCCUCUCUGGUUCCAGGUGCGUCACCAGAGAACCGCA